rnacentral:rRNA from 1 species
AAACUUUCAACAACGGAUCUCUUGGUUCUGGCAUCGAUGAAGAACGCAGCGAAAUGCGAUAAGUAAUGUGAAUUGCAGAAUUCAGUGAAUCAUCGAAUCUUUGAACGCACAUUGCGCCCGCUGGUAUUCCAGCGGGCAUGCCUGUUCGAGCGUCAU